rnacentral:sRNA from 1 species
AAGGCUGGCAUCACCUCUAAGUUGCUAAUUCUAUUUCCAGUAAAUGGCAAGGAGCUUAAUGUACUAAUAUUUUCAUGUAUUUGUCUACCUGCAGGAAGACAAAUAUAUCUUUGUGAUAUAUGCAGCAUCAAAAAUAACGUACACUUUACUAGUUAUAUCUUUAAUUUUUCUCUAACCAGGGGUACGUCAGCUUGAAAUUAUGUGCUGCUUUGGCUGCAUGUCAGUUCUUGCCAACUACUUCGUGUUCAUGACUUUCUUCCCAGCUUGUGUGUCCUUGGUAUUAGAGCUUUCUCGGGAAAGCCGCGAGGGUCGUCCAAUUUGGCAGCUCAGCCAUUUUGCCCGAGUUUUAGAAGAAGAAGAAAAUAAGCCAAAUCCUGUAACUCAGAGGGUCAAGAUGAUUAUGUCUCUAGGCUUGGUUCUUGUUCAUGCUCACAGUCGCUGGAUAGCUGAUCCUUCUCCUCAAAACAGUACAGCAGAUACUUCUAAGGUUUCAUUAGGACUGGAUGAAAAUGUAUCCAAGAGAAUUGAACCAAGUGUUUCCCUCUGGCAGUUUUAUCUCUCUAAAAUGAUCAGCAUGGAUAUUGAACAAGUUAUUACCCUAAGUUUAGCUCUCCUUCUGGCUGUCAAGUACAUCUUCUUUGAACAAACAGAGACAGAAUCUACACUCUCAUUAAAAAACCCUAUCACAUCUCCUGUAGUGACACAAAAGAAAGUCCCAGACGAUUGUUGUAGACGUGAACCUAUGCUGGUCAGAAAUAACCAGAAAUGUGAUUCAGUAGAGGAAGAGACAGGGAUAAACCGAGAAAGAAAAGGUAACUUGUUAUUCUCUUCACUUUCAAUCCUUCAUUGCUUUGUCAAAAAGUAGUCUGUUUUCAAAAUUAUGUGCUGUGUUGUGAGAUUUCUUUUGAUCUCUUGAACAGUUGAGGUUAUAAAACCCUUAGUGGCUGAAACAGAUACCCCAAACAGAGCUACAUUUGUGGUUGGUAACUCCUCCUUACUCGAUACUUCAUCAGUACUGGUGACACAGGAACCUGAAAUUGAACUUCCCAGGGAACCUCGGCCUAACGAAGAAUGUCUACAGAUACUUGGGAAUGCAGAGGUGAGGAU